ACGCUGGCGGCAGGCCUAACACAUGCGUGUCGAGCGGUAGCACAGGAGAGCUUGCUCUCUGGGUGACGAGCGGCGGACGGGUGAGUAAUGUCUGGGAAACUGCCUGAUGGAGGGGGAUAACUACUGGAAACGGUAGCUAAUACCGCAUGACCUCGCAAGAGCAAAGUGGGGGACCUUCGGGCCUCACGCCAUCGGAUGUGCCCAGAUGGGAUUAGCUAGUAGGUGGGGUAAUGGCUCACCUAGGCGACGAUCCCUAGCUGGUCUGAGAGGAUGACCAGCCACACUGGAACUGAGACACGGUCCAGACUCCUACGGGAGGCAGCAGUGGGGAAUAUUGCACAAUGGGCGCAAGCCUGAUGCAGCCGUGCCGCGUGUGUGAAGAAGGCCUUAGGGUUGUAAAGCACUUUCAGCGAGGAGGAAGGCGUUGCAGUUAAUAGCUGCAGCGAUUGACGUUACUCGCAGAAGAAGCACCGGCUAACUCCGUGCCAGCAGCCGCGGUAAUACGGAGGGUGCAAGCGUUAAUCGGAAUUACUGGGCGUAAAGCGCACGCAGGCGGUUUGUUAAGUCAGAUGUGAAAUCCCCGAGCUUAACUUGGGAACUGCAUUUGAAACUGGCAAGCUAGAGUCUUGUAGAGGGGGGUAGAAUUCCAGGUGUAGCGGUGAAAUGCGUAGAGAUCUGGAGGAAUACCGGUGGCGAAGGCGGCCCCCUGGACAAAGACUGACGCUCAGGUGCGAAAGCGUGGGGAGCAAAC
rnacentral:rRNA from 1 species